CGGCGCGGGUGGAAUUCCCGCGAUCGGUUUCAUUCCCUGCGCCGCCGAGAAAAGUGAGAUCCCGCGAGACUCCCAGGGCAUUUUCCCUACAUUUUCAAAGGCCUGCAUCAUCACACCUGCCGCAGCUUUCUCUAUCAUUGAGGCAUUUUCUCAGGAAAUCACCUGUGAAAUAUUUUGCAGCUAACCACCUACCUGUGCCCCGCCAGCCAACCUGCUUUACUCCUGCCAGGCAGGUUCUCUGUACCCCUCUGGAUUCUGUCUGCCUUUGUUAUAUCUUCAUGAACAAGUUAUGCAGCCUCAACUAAAGCUUGUAACAAAGCAAAAGUUACUCUCCUGAGUGUGUCCUCUGAUGGCUGGUGAGAUAUGACUUCAAGACGAAGCCUCACCCACACUCCCUGUACAAAAACGCUUCUCACCUGUGUCACUCUGGAAGCUUUGAUCAGAAAAUUGUAGUUGCUGUUGCCUCUGAUGUGCAAGUCCAAGAUUCUUGGGCCGCAGGACAUGUUCUGCAUAUAUUCCUGGAGAAUAGACCA
rnacentral:antisense_RNA from 1 species